GACCCCGCUGAAGAGCUGAGGAGGAGGAAUCCGAGAAGGAGAACUCUGAGGUGAGAUCUGAAGAAAAGGAUUUUUGGAAGAAGAAGACAAUUCUGAGAGGGGCCUUGAGUACGGCCUAGUUCAUCUAAGUUUCUGUCUUCUUUUGAGAUCUCCGUUUUGAUGUGAAUAGAGUUUAGAAUAAAAAGUUGUGAAGCGUUCUGGUUUGUGUUUUGUAUAAAAGUGUGGUUAUAAAUUUCAAUAUGAAAAAUAUGGCCCUGCUUUUCUAUCCCAUCGUUUUAUUGUCUGGGGAUUUUAACUGCUUCCGCAUGUGCUUAAAAAUAAAAGGGUCGGCGAUACGUUGUCCUGGGAUAUCGCAUUAUAAAAUCGACCAAGAUGAAGGAUGUGUGCGUGCCCAAGGAACGGGGCGUGACAUCCAGUUUAAGUGGUAUCAGAGCGAAGUUGAAGAUUGGAGUGAUAAGGAGCGUUGAGCAUGGGAUAGUUAGUAGGAAAUGCCUUUAAAUUCAUGCUGGUGCAUGUCUGUGUUAGCUGAAUGCUAAGAUUGUUUGUUGUUUGAAUCGCUCUGUUUCUAAUUCGGUGUUGAAUUGGAAGCAGGUGUCAGUAGAUUAAAGUGACACCAUGAGCGAUCAGGAGCCAAGAACUCCUAGGCAGAGGACUUUGUCCUCAGUGACUCGGACUAGGACACCGACAAGAGUUGGUGCCCGAGGUGGCCGAGGUAGAGCGCCAGCUGAGGCUAGCGCGAGUAGAGUAGCACCACCUGUUGGUGCUGGGGUAGCAGCCCCAGUCGAUCAGGGAUCAGUUGGGAUCACGCAAGCGUUGGAUGCUAUGCGUGAGAUGAUGGGGCAACAGGCCCGGGAUCAAACAGCUGCAUUUACUGCAGCUGUUGCUGCCGCUACUACUGCUGCUGCCAAUGCUGUUGCUGCAGCCGCACCUGCCGUCGUGCCUGCUGAAGUCCCGCCUGUGAGGCCGAUGCCUAGUUUGGUGGAGCAGUUUUUGAAAUUGAAGCCACCGAAGUUUACUGGGACAGGAGACCCCGAAGCUGCUGCUCUGUGGAUCCAAGGACUAGAGAAAGCAUUUGCACUAUUGAUGUGUUCUGAGACCGAGAAAGUGGUCCUCGCAGUCUACCAAUUAGAAGGAGUUGCGAGUACUUGGUGGAGAACCACUCAAGGAACGAUAUUUCCCGGAGGUUUAGCCCUAGAAUGGAACGCUUUUGUUGAAGCCUUCAACGGGAAAUACUUUUCAGAAACUGCUAAAGAGAUAAAGAUGGUUGAGUUCCAACGCCUUCGCCAAGGCUCUAUGACUGUGGAUCAAUAUGAGGCGAAGUUUGCUGAACUGUCGCAGUAUGCCCCUGAAUUAGUGGAGAAUCCAAUAAACCGAGGGAGAAGAUUCAGAGAUGGACUCAAGCCAGAGUUGAGAAGCCCAUUGAUUUUGCUGAAUCUGAGAAAUUAUAAUGAUCUUUAUGAGAGGGCUCAAAUGAUCGAAAGAGACCAGAACGAUAGAGCCGCCUCAUCUGGAUCGAGGUUUAACUUUCAGCGAGACAACAUCCGCCAAGGAAAGAGGCCGAUGUUUGGAAAUAGAUUCCAAGGCCCACCCAGCAAGAAGGGUGGAUUUAAUAAAUCAAGACCUAUUGGAACUGAUGCGUGUCGCUUUUGUGGGAGAAGACACGGGACAGCACUGUGCCUAGCUAGGACGAUUGUGUGUUUUGAAUGUGGCCAACAGGGUCACAUCGCAAGGAGUUGUCCAAGGAAGCAAAGAGGACAACCUCAAUUGCCACAGCCGCCAUCGCUGAGACAGAUAGGAGGGUAUGCCCCUCAGAAUGCACUACAAGGAGGACAACAGAGACCUCCAGCUCAAGGCACUGUGUAUGCGAUUACCCAAGGUCAGGCAGAAGCUGCGCCUGGCGUGAUUACAGGUACGGUCUCGCUCAACGACCAACCUGCUUAUGCUUUGUUUGAUUCGGGAGCAACCCAUUCCUUCAUUGCCGAGCAAUAUGUUAGGAUGCUAGGAUUGAAUCCUGUAUUGUUAGAAUCGGCAAUUUGCAUAUCUACACCCUUGAAAGAUAAAGUUAUUGCUGCUUUGGGAUGUUCGGGGUGCAAGUUAGAGAUUGGUGAGUGAGUGGGGAAAAUUGACUUGUUAGUCCUAGCCAUGUAUGAUUUUGAUUUGAUAAUUGGCAUGGACUGGCUCACCAAUCAACGAGCUAAAAUGGACUGCUAUCGCAAGGCGAUUCAGUUUGACCCGUUAGAGGGUAAGAGUUUCGAGUUUGUCGGGAAUCGAGGAGGACCUUCGAUUUCCUUAAUCUCGUCGCCGGAAGUAACUCGUUUGUUAGACGAGGGUUGCCGAGGCUAUUUAGCGACUGUCGUAGAUACGACAGUUGAAGGGUUGAAAAUGGAAGAUAUUGCAGUAGUACAGGAGUUUCCAGAUGUUUUUCCAAAAGAAUUGCCAGGAUUACCGCCAGAAAGGGAGAUUGAAUUUGUAAUCGAGCUAGCACCAGGGACAGAACCAAUCUCAAAGGCACCGUACCGAAUGUCAUUAUCUGAGUUGAAGGAACUGAAGGUGCAGAUGCAAGAAUUAUUGGAUAAGGGAUUUAUUCGUCCUAGUGCAUCACCUUGGGGAGCACCAGUUCUAUUUGUUAAGAAGAAAGAUGGUUCGUUGCAUUUGUGCAUAGACUAUCGACAGCUCAAUCAGGUAACGAUCAAGAACAAGUAUCCCCUCCCGAGGAUAGAUGACUUGUUUGAUCAACUGCAAGGAGCGUCAAUAUUCUCGAAGAUCGAUUUGAGGACAGGAUAUCAUCAGCUGAGAAUUAGGAAGGAGGAUAUUCCUAAGUCAGCAUUUCGUACCCGGUAUGGUCAUUACGAGUUUACAGUGAUGCCGUUCGGAUUGACGAAUGCUCCAGCUGCAUUUAUGGAUUUGAUGAACAGAGUGUUCAAAGAAUAUCUAGAUCAAUUUGUGAUCGUGUUCAUUGAUGAUAUCUUAGUCUAUUCGAGAAGUAAUGAAGAGCAUGAGAAUCAUCUGAGAUUAGUGCUUCAGACCUUAAGAGCUCACCAGCUGUAUGCUAAGUUUAGCAAAUGCGAGUUUUGGUUGACUCGUGUUGCGUUCUUAGGUCAUGUGAUUUCCGGAGAAGGAAUCUCCGUCGACCCGAGCAAGAUAGAAGCCGUGAUCAAUUGGCAGAGACCGACAUCAGUGACAGAGAUCAGAAGUUUUCUGGGGUUAGCAGGUUAUUACAGACGGUUUGUGGAAGGGUUCUCAUCGAUAGCGUCGCCUCUGACAAAGCUCACGAAGAAAAAUGAGAAGUUCAUAUGGACAGACAAGUGCGAGCAUAGUUUUCAAGAGCUGAAGGAAAAGCUGACUACCGCACCUGUGUUGACGAUUCCAUCUGGUCCUGGAGGAUUCGAGAUCUAUAGUGAUGCGUCAUUCAGGGGAUUGGGUUGCGUGCUGAUGCAACAUGGCAGAGUUGUUGCAUACGCUUCCAGGCAGUUGAGACCUCAUGAAUUGAAUUAUCCGACGCAUGACUUAGAACUCGCAGCCAUCAUAUUUGCGUUGAAGAUUUGGAGGCACUACUUGUGUGGGGAAAAGUUUCAGAUCUUCACAGACCAUCAAAGUCUCAAGUAUUUGUUCUCUCAGAAGGAGUUGAACAUGAGACAGCGUCGAUGGAUGGAAUUGUUGAAGGAUUAUGACUGUGACAUUCUAUAUCACCCGGGAAAGGCGAACAAGGUCGCCGAUGCAUUGAGUCGGAAGUCUUCAGUGGCACGGAUCUUGGUUAAGGAGUGGAACUUGAUUGAGAGAGCUCGAGAUUCGGAAUUCAAAUUUGAGGUAGGCCACCUCUCAAGUCUUAUGGCCACCCUUAGAAUUGAGCCGGAUGUCCAGGUUAGAAUCAAGCAACUUCAACCGACAGAUCCGGAUGUACAGAAAAUUCUUCAAGAGGAUACUGAUAAAAGAAAAGCUGAUUUUCAAGUUUCUGAUGAUGGGGUACUGAGGUUUCGUGGACGUUUGGUUGUACCUAACGAUGUAGAGCUUAGAGAAGAGAUUUUAUCUGAAGCACAUCGUAGCAAUUACAGCGUUCAUCCCGGAAGCACUAAGAUGUAUCAGAAUUUGUGUCAACACUACUGGUGGUCAGGUAUGAAGGCGGACAUCGCCAAGCAUGUGGCCAAGUGUUUGACUUGUCAGCAAGUAAAAGCCCAGCAUUGUAAGCCGGGAGGACUUUUGCAACCUCUCGCGAUCCCAGAGUGGAAAUGGGAGCAUAUCACGAUGGACUUCGUGACUGGACUACCAAGGAGUCAAAGGGGAAAUGAUUCGAUUUGGGUAGUAGUCGACAGGUUGACAAAGUCGGCUCACUUCAUUGCAGUUCGAAAGGACCUGAGUCUGGAUAGACACGCAGACCUGUAUGUGCGUCAGGUGGUUCGUAUGCAUGGAGUGCCAGUUACGAUAACAUCUGAUAGAGACCCGCGGUUUACUGCUGCUUUUUGGAAGAGCUUGCAGAGUGCUUUAGGUACAAAGCUUCAGUACAGUACGGCAUAUCAUCCUCAGACGGAUGGCCAGUCUGAAAGGACAAUUCAGACUCUUGAGGACAUGCUAAGAGCGUGUGUUAUAGACUUCAAAGGAAGUUGGGAAGAUCGACUUCAUCUGGUGGAAUUCGCCUACAACAACAGUUAUCAACAGAGCAUCAAGAUGGCUCCAUUUGAAGCAUUGUAUGGCAGAGCGUGCAGAACUCCAGUGUGUUGGGAUGAAGUCAGAGAAAGGAAGAUAACAGGCCCAGAGUUGGUUCAGCAAUCAGUAGAUGCCGUGGCAGUGAUCAGAGACAGAUUGAAGACCGCGCAGAGCAGGCAGAAAAGUUAUGCUGAUAAGCGUCGAAGGUCUUUGGAAUUCCAAGUUGGUGAUCACGUUUUUCUGAAAGUGUCACCAAUGAGGGGAACUUCGCGCUUUGGUAAGAAAGGCAAACUGAGUCCGAGGUACGUAGGUCCGUUUGAGAUUCUUGAAAGAAUCGGAAACCUAGCGUAUCGUCUUGCGUUGCCGCCAAGAUUGGCGCAAGUGCAUGACGUCUUUCACGUGUCGAUGUUAAGGAAGUACGAGCCUGACUCGACCCACGUGCUCAAUUUUGAGGAAUUGGACGUGGAUGACCGUGUGUCAUACGUUGAAAGCCCGGUUCAGAUUGUCGAUCGUAAAGAGCAAGUUCUGCGUACAAAGACCAUCCCGUUGGUCAAAGUGGUCUGGCAACACCACGGCAUUGAAGGAGCGACUUGGGAGACUGAAGAAUCGAUGAGACAGUUGUACCCCCACCUUUUUGAGCAAAGUGUAAUGGUUUAAAUUUCGAGGACGAAAUUUUUAUAAGAGGGGAAGAGUUGUGACAUCCUGAAAUUCGACCCCGUUUCGAUAAAGUGAAAUGGGCAUUUCGUCGGCGUGCCUAUGGCCUUUUUCUCUGAGCUGAUCACUCACGAGUUAACUAACCUAUUGGGUGAAGCCGUUAAGGGAUGUAUCAGCUGUAAAAUCCCUAAAAGCUACCUAAUUGGUUGGAUUGAGCUAAAAUCACGUCUGAUCGAUUUUUAACCACGAAAUUGAACUCGAUUUCGGGAAUCGAAUUUUAAGCGCGUCAUAAUUCUUAUUUUUAGGAUCCUGUCUCAUCGCUCGUCAAUUUAUUGACGAGUCCGAAAUUUCAAUAAAGAAAUUAUCGGAAGAAAAUUUGAAGCCCAAGUGAAAAUAGAAAGAGAAAAGGAAAAUUGCAUAAAGGCAUUAUGCAUUUUGUUUUUUUCCUUUUUCUUUCUCUCCCUUUUUCCUCUCCUUUUCUCUUUUUCUUUCUUUUCUUUCUCUCUCCUCUCUCCUCUCCCCUUCUCCUCGUGCGAAUUCCCCACCGCCUAUUCUCUCUCUCUCUUCCCUUUUUGACCAGUCAAUGCAUAUCCUCUCCUCUCUCUUCUUCCUUCCCGCACACGACAGAACCAACUUCUUCUUCUCCUUCUUUUCUUCGCGUGCGAACCAGAAGCCCGGAGCAGAAGCAGCGCAGCUCGUCGUCGCCACCGUCCCGCCGCCGCACCGCCGCCCGCGCCGCGCCCGUGUGCUCGCCGCUCGCCAUCCCGCCGUCCGUCACCGCUGCCGCUCCUCCCUCUGCACGACCCAGCUGCUGUUCCGCACCGACCAGCCCCCGUCCGGCCACCUCCGGCCACCGUCUAGCUCCGCCGGACCUCCCCCGCAACCCCCUCGCCCUCCGCCGGCUUCCCCUCGCCGCCCUAGCCGCCGGAGCAGGCCCGAUCAGCUCCGUCCAGCAAGCCCACGGAGUGGGUUUCAGCAUCUUCGGGCCCGCUUUUGGGCUGUUUCCGGGCCUCGGAUCCGCGAGUCGCUUUGGGAACAAUCGUUCCUCGCGUCGCCGCCGUCGGAUUGAUCCGACUUGCGGGCGAUUUGGUGAGUAAUCUCACUAAUCCAGAAUUAGUGGCUAAUUAUGCUUUAAGCUGGUUUAGAUUUAAUUAAUUAUGUUUAGGUUGUUAGAUUAGAAUAAAUUAGCAAUUAUUAGUCAAUUGUGAUGUGAUUUAGAUAAAUUGAUUGUGUAAUUAGCAAGUAGACGUGGUCUACUAAUUAUUGGAAGUGCCUCGGGAUUUUUCCCGACCCUUAGUGGGCUCCAAUUAGGCUUUUUGGGCCUAAGUGGAUAUUUUUAGUAUUUAAAUAUAAAUUUUCGGAAUUAAUUAAAUAAUUAUUUAUUUUCCGAAAAUUCAACUGGGAUGGCCCGUGACUGGAAAUUUAUGCUGAUGAUCGUGGUGAAGUCCGUUUAUUUAAUUGGGCCUUAUUUUGAGCUAAAUGGAAUUUUUAAUAUUUAUAAAUUAAUUAUUUUCGGAAAUUGAAAUUUAGAUGGCCGACGACCGAAAUCUCGUGCCGAUUGUCGUGGCGCAGUCUGUUUAUUUAUUUGAGCUUUGAAUUGUGCCAAAUUGAAUUGAAUGUGGAAAUUGUGGUUAAUGGAAUUUUUAAUAUUUAUANNNNNNNNNNNNNNNNNNNNNNNNNNNNNNNNNNNNNNNNNNNNNNNNNNNNNNNNNNNNNNNNNNNNNNNNNNNNNNNNNNNNNNNNNNNNNNNNNNNNUGAGCUUUGAAUUGAAUUGAAUGUGGAAAUUGUGGUUAAUUAUUUCGUUGAGAAAUCAUUAAAUCUUGCAAGUGGUCGAGUGGGACCGUAAAGCCAUUAAAUCUUGCAAGUGGUCGAGUGGGACCGUAAAGCCAUUAAAUCUUGCAAGGGGUCGAGUGGGACCGUAAAGCCAUUAAAUCUUGCAAGGGGUCGAGUGGGACCGUAAAGCCAUUAAAUCUUGCAAGCGGUCGAGUGGGACCGUAAAGCCAUUAAAUCUUGCAAGCGGUCGAGUGGGACCGUAAAGCCAUUAAAUCUUGCAAGCGGUCGAGUGGGACCGUAAAGCCAUUGAAUCUUGCAAGUGGUCGAGUGGGACCGUAAAGCCAUUGAAUCUUGCAAGUGGUCGAGUGGGACCGUAAAGCCAUUAAAUAUUGAAUGUUGCUGAGGUGGGACUCUGAAUAGCAAUAGCUUGAAUGACCGGGAAAUGGUCAGGUUGACAUGUAAUCGACGAGGUCGAUUGAUCAUUGUUUUGAUUUGAUGUUGUGAAUUGAUUGACUGAAUGGGAAUGACCGUGAGUGGUCUUGUUGGCUUGUAAUCGACUAGGUCGAUUUGAUCGAUGCUUUGAUCGGUGAUACGAUUGCUUGAGUGCCUAUUGUGAAUUGUACUGACUUGCAGGUGGGAUCUGAUGCUAAGGUAUGUCUUCUGACCUAUGCGUGUUUAGGCAGCCUUUAGUAUAAUAGUUUACUAAUCGGGCUUAGUGGGGUAGAACUCGCUGAGACGUAGUCUCAUCCCAGUUUGGGGAAAACCAUUUCAGGACCCCGCUGAAGAGCUGAGGAGGAGGAAUCCGAGAAGGAGAACUCUGAGGUGAGAUCUGAAGAAAAGGAUUUUUGGAAGAAGAAGACAAUUCUGAGAGGGGCCUUGAGUACGGCCUAGUUCAUCUAAGUUUCUGUCUUCUUUUGAGAUCUCCGUUUUGAUGUGAAUAGAGUUUAGAAUAAAAAGUUGUGAAGCGUUCUGGUUUGUGUUUUGUAUAAAAGUGUGGUUAUAAAUUUCAAUAUGAA
rnacentral:lncRNA from 1 species